ensembl:miRNA ipu-mir-7556 ipu-mir-7556
AUUGUAUUCAAGUUACUGUACGUGUACAAGAGAUAUCCAUACAGUAACUUGAAGACAACGU